rnacentral:tRNA from 1 species
UAAUUACCAAAUUUAGCAAAAAAUUGCAUUAGAUUUAGAAUCUAAUUUUACUCUA